rnacentral:rRNA from 1 species
GAUGAACGCUGGCGGCGUGCCUAAUACAUGCAAGUCGAGCGAACAGAUGAGGAGCUUGCUCCUCUGACGUUAGCGGCGGACGGGUGAGUAACACGUGGAUAACCGGCCUAUAAGACUGGGGUCACUUCGGGAAACCUGAUCUAAUACCGGAUAAUAUAUUGAACCGCAUGGUUCAAUAGUGAAAGACGUUUUUGCUGUCACUUAUACGUGGAUCCGGGCCGCAUUAGCUAGUUGGUAAGGUAACGGCUUACCAAGGCAACGUUGCGUAGCCGACCUGGGAGGGGGACCGGCACCACUGAACCUGGGAACCGUCCCAGACCCCAAGGGGGGGCAGAGGGGGGAAUUUUUCCGAAAGGGGCGAAGGCCGGACGGAGCAACGCGGCUGGGGGGAGGAAGGCCUCCGGUUCUUAAACCCCUGUUAUUAGGGAAGAACAAAUGUGUAAGUAACCAUGCUGGUCUGGACGGUACCAAAGCAGAAAGCCACGGUGAACUACGG